GUACUUCCUUCAGCAGCACAUGUACUAAAAUUGGAAUGAUACAGACAAUAUUAGUAUGGCCCCUGCACAAAGAUGACAUGCAAAUUUGUGAAUUAUUCCAUAUUAAA